rnacentral:rRNA from 1 species
ACUCGGCAAAAUGACACCGUAACUUCGGGAUAAGGUGUGCCAUUCUUCCAUCGCCCGGCUUCCGGACGAUGGUUAAGAAUAGGAGGCAUAGAAUGGUGUUGUACGACUGUUUAAUUAAAACAAAGCACUUUGCAUAAGAUGACAAAUCAAAGUAUUGAGUGUGAAUUCUGCCCAAUGUUGGCUGGUUAACGGAUUUUCUUAGCCGACUAAAAUAAGCUAGGUUUUGAAGGAAACCCCAAUCAAUGGCGGCCUUACCGAUGAGGGUCCUAAGGUAGCGGAAUACCUUGGCCGUUAAAUGCGGUCUUGCAUGAAUGAUUUAACGAUACAACAGCUGUCUCAAUGAUUG